rnacentral:rRNA from 1 species
AUGGGAGCAGCAACGGCUCGCUCCCCCGACCUCGACCCUGCGCCGCUCCACCAGCCCUCACCGACGGCGGCCACCCCGGCCCCGCCGGCCACCCUCUCAGCGCCUCGCGUACUCCCUCGCCCAUGGCCACGGCCUCCAGCCUGUAGGAUUCGAGUGGAGAAUGGAGGUCAGAGGGAGGUCCAGAUCAGCCGCUCGCGCUCCUCCAAGGCUGCGUCGACGACCACUCCGGUUCCGCCGCCCGCCGCCCCGCCUUCAUUGUCGGCUCCGUCCACUCAGCUGCCAGAGCCACCGGCGUCCCCCAACAUUGGGCUCCCUCAGCUCGAUCCAGAUCAGGCGGAUCUGGAUUCCAUCUCCCUGUCGCCUCCGGCUGGCCGGAGCCCUGCUUCUGCCGAUGUGACGGAGGUUCUGCUUGGGGCCAAGAGUGGCUGCACAACCAUUAUUGGUGAGAAGGAGGUGGAGUUUGCUCUGUUGCUGCAUCCGACGGCCACGCAUGGCCUCGUCCCCUCUGUGCAGAUCCCGCCUUGCCCCGAUGUUGGGGAUGGGGCCGAAGUUGCUGCCUUGGUUAUGCAGUCGCCGCCUGGUGAAGAUGCUGAGUUCGUGCCGUGCACGCUGCCGACCGUUGCCGAAGGCCGCACUUCCGGCGCUGCAAUGAUGGGGGAGCUGGCGCAGCUGGAGACGAAUGUUGUGGAUUGUGUGCCAUCCGCUUCUUGCUUUUCCGUGUCGUCUUCUUGUGAUACAGCGGAGGCUGUAGAUGCUCAGCCUGGGAAGGUCCUUGGAUUUUCGUAG